rnacentral:tRNA from 1 species
GCCGGAAUAGCUCAGUGGUAGAGCGCAUCACUCGUAAUGAUGAGGUCUGCGGUUCGAUCCCGCAUUUCGGCA